AUGAUGUCCUCAGGAACCCUGGGGGCAAGAAGAAUUACCAUGGAGAGGCUGGAGAAUGGGGAGGAGGGGUCUGGAAACCUGGCUUUCUGGAGGGCAGAGGUGGGAGAGCACAGGACCCUGGUACCUUCAGGACAGCAGCAAGGAGAGAAGAGCUCCACUAGAGACAGAUGACAACUGCCUGCUCUCCCCUCUGCCCUGGUGGCAUUUUUACCCCUUCUACAGGGGGAUCCCUGAGCUAGCUCUUCACCCACAGAGAGAAUAGAGAACCUGGAAGUGCAUGGAAAACAACAGACAAAAACAUUCUAUCUCCCUGAUUUCCCCACCCCAGGACACUGGUCUACUUUUAAUGAUUGGGCACAAGGGUGGAAGGAGAGGUGAAGUAUAUGGAAAUGGCUACUGUGCAACACAUAAAGGUGUGGAAGAAAAGAGUGGUAGGAGGGGCUGUUGUCUCCAGAAAACAAAUGUGUACAACAAGAUCCACUGCUUCUCUCUGCCAGCCCUCAGCACCCAGGUCACGUCACAAGAUAAGAGGCAAAGUGAUUACAAAUGCUCAGCAAACUGGGCCCUGAGAGGAAGACGACUCUAGCUGAACUGCUCAAUCACCUAGCACUGUGUCCAUUUUUCCUUGCAAGCUCACCAGAUCGAUCUCUCAGUUUUGGAUCUGUGACUGUUUCUGUUGUAUGGUAUGCUCAUUGCUCUCCUUCUCCCUCACUUGGCUCCAGUCUUGUGGUCAGAUAAAUUAGUUCCAUGGUGUCCUAAGCUGAAGCACAGAGAUGGUUGGACCUGCAGGCUCCCAAAGCAGAUAGCAGAGAUGGCACUAGAACCAAGCCUCCUUGACUCCUCCUGGCUCAGUGCUCUUUCUAGGGUCACUUCAUAGAUGCAGGAAACUGAAGCCAGACUGCCUAGAUCCAAAUACCAGCACUACUACUAACUGAUCUGAGAAUGUUACUCUGUACCUUCUUUACUUCUGUAAAAUGGACUAAUAUAAA